rnacentral:rRNA from 1 species
UGGAUAACUGUGGUAAUUCUAGAGCUAAUACAUGCAGUAAGCCUUGACCUUUACCGGCAAGGCGCAGUUAUUAGAUCAAAAACCAAUCGGUUGUGUCUUCGGAUGCAGCCGUUAGCUUGGUGACUCUGAGUAACCACAGCGAACCGUAUGGCCUCGUGCUCGACGGUCUGUCAGUCAAGCAACUGCCUUAUCAGCUUGUUGUUAGGUUAUAUGCCUAACAAGGCUUCAACGGGUAACGAACGAUCGGGGUCGGAUAUCGGAGAGGGAGCUUGAGAAACGGCUACCACUUCCAAGGAAGGCAGCAGGCGCGCAAAUUACCCACUCUCGGCAUGAGGAGGUAGCGAUAAAAUGUAUCGAUGCGGGGCCAUUAGUGCCUUCGUAAUCGGAAUGAGUACACUUUAAAUCCUAUAACAAGGACCUAUUGGAGGGCAAGUCUGGUGCCAGCAGCCGCGGUAAUUCCAGCUCCAAUAGCGUAUAUUAAUGCUGCUGCGGUUAAAAAGCUCGUAGUCGGAUCUGGGUUACCGGCGGGUACCGCAUGUUGCUUCACGCAGCAUGUUGUGUACUAUACGUGUCGCUUCGGCGGCACUGCCAGUGUAAUAGUGCCUCACGUAGGUACGUUACGCUGGUCGCCGGAACCACGAGCCGGGUUGAGCAGCAUGCUCUUAAUUGAGUGUGCUGUUUACUCGGUGCGUUUACUUUGAAAAAAUUGGAGUGCUCAAAGCAAGCGUACAGUCGCUAUGCGGCUUGAACAGUGGUGCAUGGAAUAAUGGAAUAGGGCCUCGGUUCUAUUUUGUUGGUUUUAAGAUAUCGAGGUAAUGAUUAAGAGGGACAGACGGGGACGUUUGUAUUGCGACGUUAGAGGUGAAAUUCUUGGAUCGUCGCAAGACACACUAAUGCGAA